rnacentral:rRNA from 1 species
GCUACUUUGCUGACGAGCGGCGGACGGGUGAGUAAUGCUUGGGAACAUGCCUUGAGGUGGGGGACAACAGUUGGAAACGACUGCUAAUACCGCAUAAUGUCUACGGACCAAAGGGGGCUUCGGCUCUCGCCUUUAGAUUGGCCCAAGUGGGAUUAGCUAGUUGGUGAGGUAAUGGCUCACCAAGGCAACGAUCCCUAGCUGGUUUGAGAGGAUGAUCAGCCACACUGGGACUGAGACACGGCCCAGACUCCUACGGGAGGCAGCAGUGGGGAAUAUUGCACAAUGGGCGCAAGCCUGAUGCAGCCAUGCCGCGUGUGUGAAGAAGGCCUUCGGGUUGUAAAGCACUUUCAGUCAGGAGGAAAGGUUAGUAGUUAAUACCUGCUAGCUGUGACGUUACUGACAGAAGAAGCACCGGCUAACUCCGUGCCAGCAGCCGCGGUAAUACGGAGGGUGCGAGCGUUAAUCGGAAUUACUGGGCGUAAAGCGUACGCAGGCGGUUUGUUAAGCGAGAUGUGAAAGCCCCGGGCUCAACCUGGGAACUGCAUUUCGAACUGGCAAACUAGAGUGUGAUAGAGGGUGGUAGAAUUUCAGGUGUAGCGGU